UGGGUCAGUGGCAGACGGCUGAGGAAGACGGAAGGAACCUGCCCAUCGGGGGGGGAGUAACUCCGCGAAAGCGGGGCUAAGACCGCGUACGUUCCUGCGGGGGAGAACCGCGGGAGGAAAACCGAAAGGUGCCGAUGGAGGGGCUUCCGGCCCAUCAGGUAGUUGGCGGGGUAAAGGCCCACCAAGCCGAUGACGGGUCGCUGGUCUGAGAGGAUGAUCAGCCACACUGGAACUGAGACACGGUCCAG
rnacentral:rRNA from 1 species